rnacentral:rRNA from 1 species
UGCCAGCCGCCGCGGUAAGACGAAGGUGGCAAGCGUUGUUCGGAAUCACUGGGCAUAAAGCGCGCGUAGGCGGUCUACUAAGUCGGAUGUGAAAGCCCUCGGCCCAACCGGGGAAUGGCGUCCGAUACUGGUGGACUUGAGGCUCGGAGAGGUGCAUAGAAUUCCUGGUGGAGCGGUGAAAUGCGUUGAUAUCAGGAGGAAUACCGGAGGCGAAGGCGAUGCACUGGCCGGGCACUGACGCUGAUGUGCGAAAGCUAGGGGAGCGAACGGGAUUAGAUA